UGGGGAAUAUUGCACAAUGGGCGCAAGCCUGAUGCAGCCAUGCCGCGUGUAUGAAGAAGGCCUUCGGGUUGUAAAGUACUUUCAGCGGGGAGGAAGGGAGUAAAGUUAAUACCUUUGCUCAUUGACGUUACCCGCAGAAGAAGCACCGGCUAACUCCGUGCCAGCAGCCGCGGUAAUACGGAGGGUGCAAGCGUUAAUCGGAAUUACUGGGCGUAAAGCGAACGCAGGCGGUUUGUUAAGUCAGAUGUGAAAUCCUCGGGCUCAACCUGGGAACUGCAUCUGAUACUGGCAAGCUUGAGUCUCGUAGAGGGGGGUAGAAUUCCAGGUGUAGCGGUGAAAUGCGUAGAGAUCUGGAGGAAUACCGGUGGCGAAGGCGGCCCCCUGGACGAAGACUGACGCUCAGGUGCGAAAGCGUGGGGAGCAAACAGG
rnacentral:rRNA from 1 species